ACAAAAUGAAAAGCGAUUUUUCGUAUAUUCUUGGGAAUCGGCCCGAGAGUCUCUACAAGGUCACCGUAAUGAUCUGGCUACGAAAAGAGAGAAGAAGUAC
rnacentral:ncRNA from 1 species